rnacentral:rRNA from 1 species
UACGAAGGGGGCUAGCGUUGUUCGGAAUUACUGGGCGUAAAGGGCGCGUAGGCGGUGUGUCAAGUCAGGCGUGAAAGCCCCGGGCUCAACCUGGGAACCGCGCUUGAGACUGGCACGCUCGAGUUCGGGAGAGGAUGGUGGAAUUCCCAGUGUAGAGGUGAAAUUCGUAGAUAUUGGGAAGAACACCGAUGGCGAAGGCAGCCAUCUGGACCGACACUGACGCUGAGGCGCGGAAAGCGUGGGAGCAAACAGG